rnacentral:rRNA from 1 species
AUGUCUAAGUAUAAAUUCUUGUACGAUGAAACUGCAGACGGCUCAUUACAACAGUGAUAAACUAAUAGACUUUCGGGUUUUACCUUUUGGAUAACCGCAGUAAAUCGGGGCUAAUACAUAGAAGCGAGGGGUGACUGAUUUAUCGGAAGCUCCGCGAUUAUUAGCAUUCAACCAAUACCCGCAAGGGUUCUGUUGGUGAAACCGAAUAAUAUUGCAGAUCGAAGAUUUAUCUUCGACAAGUCUACUGUGUCACUGCCCUAUCAACUUUCGAUGGUACGGUAUUGGCCUACCAUGGUUGUAACGGGUAACGGGGAAUUAGGGUUCGAUUCCGGAGAGGGAGCCUGAGAAAUGGCUACCACUUCUACGGAAGGCAGCAGGCGCGCAAAUUACUCAAUCCCAAUACGGGGAAGUAGUGACAAUAAAUAUCGAUGCCUAUCCAUUUUUGGAAGGGUAAUUGAAAUGAACACAAAUUAAAACUCUUAAUUAAUACAAUUGGAGGGCAAGUCUGGUGCCAGCAGCCGCGGUAAUUCCAGCUCCAAUAGCAUAUACUAAAGUUGUUGCAGUUAAAAAGCUCGUAGUUGAAGUUAAAGCUUUAUUUGGGUUAAAAAUCCAUUUGCCUUUUAACGGUUAAAUAGGAUUCCAGUAUUGCUUUUUUAAAGUUCAGUUGGUAUUGCCUUUGGUAGUACUUAUUUGGACAUUUCACUGUGAGAAAAUUGUGGUGUUUAAAGCAGGCGUCUCUGUCUGAUCUUUUGCAGCAUGGUAUGAUGGAACAUGACAUUUUGCGCAAUUGGUUGCGAUUAAAGUGUAAUGAUUAAUAGGGAUGGAUGGGGGUGUUCAUAUUGGUGGGCGAGAGGUGAAAUUCGUUGACCCUAUCAAGAUGAACUUCUGCGAAAGCAUUCACCAAAUACUUCCCCAUUAAUCAAGAACGAAAGUUUGGGGAUCGAAGACGAUCAGAUACCGUCGUAGUCCAAACUAUAAACUAUGUCGACCAGGGAUCGGUUAAAUCUUUUUAAAAGUUUAAUCGGCACCUUGUGAGAAAUCACGAGUGUUUAGAUUCCGGGGGGAGUAUGGUCGCAAGUCUGAAACUUAAAGGAAUUGACGGAAGGGCACACAAUGGAGUGGAGCCUGCGGCUUAAUUUGACUCAACUCGGGAAAACUUACCAAGCUAAGAUAUAGUAAGGAUUGACAGACUAAGAGAUCUUUCAUGAUUCUAUAAGUGGUGGUGCAUGGUCGUUCUUAGUUGGUGGAGCGAUUUGUCUGGUCAAUUCCGAUAACGGACGAGACCUCGACCUGCUAACUAGUAGUAUUUAUUGGCCGUUAUGGAUGAUAGCUAUUCGGGGUUUGGAAGGGUUUCGGCUCUCUCCGCUUCGUGUGGUGUGUAAUCUGGUCGGAUAGGUACGAAUUAAAACUUCUUAGAGGGACUACCUGCCUCAAGCAGGCGGAAGUCCGAGGCAAUAACAGGUCUGUGAUGCCCUUAGAUACCUUGGGCCGCACGCGCGCUACAAUGUAGAAAGCAAAAAGGUUCCUGGUCCGGAAGGAUUGGGUAAUCAAUUGAAUUUUCUACGUAACUGGGAUUGAUCUUUGUAAUUAUUGAUCAUCAACGAGGAAUUCCUUGUAAGCGUAAGUCAUUACCUUAUGCUGAAUAUGUCCCUGCCCUUUGUACACACCGCCCGUCGCUCCUACCGAUCGAAUGAUACGGUAAAGCCAACGGAUAAGAUCCUUUUGGGCAACCAAUUGGAUUUUAAAAGUUGUUUAAAU